rnacentral:rRNA from 1 species
CCUACGUGUGGCAGCAGUGAGGAAUAUUGGUCAAUGGCCGUAAGGCUGAACCAGCCAAGUCGCGUGAAGGAAGAAGGAUUUCUGGUUUGUAAACUUCUUUUAUAGGGGCAUAAAGGUAUCCAUGAGUGGAUAUUUGCAUGUAGCCUAUGAAUAAGCAACGGCUAACUCCGUGCCAGCAGCGGCGGUAAUACGGAGGAUGCGCGCGUUAUCCGGAUUUAUUGGGGUUAAAGGGUGCGUAGGUUGUUUUUUAAGUCAGCGGUGAAAGUUUGUGGCUCAACCAUAAAAUUGCCGUUGAAACUGGAAGACUUGAGUGUGUUUGAGGUAGGCGGAAUGCGUGGUGGAGCGGUGAAAUGCAUAGAUAUCACGCAGAACUCCGAUUGCGAAGGCAGCUUACUAAGCCAUAACUGACACUGAAGCACGAAAGCGUGGGGAUCAAACAGGAUUAGAUACCCGGGUAGUC